UUAAAAUCUAAUUAAUCAGCCUUAAUAUUUUUGCAAUGCGUAGGUCUCUGUUAUAUGCCAUUUGGUAUGGGAUUCCUAAAAGCAGUGUUAAAUGUUUGUGAUGCGCCAUCUGUUGGAAUGACAGAGACACAGCAACCAGACAGACACACACUUGACCCUUUUAUUAAGGUGGACGAGCUGCACUACCCAUCUAAGACAAGUUGAAAUCUAAAUAGCCCACGUUGCCCUCAACGUUAACAUUUGCCGUCCGUGUCUCUGUCACGUCCUUUGUAAAAGCAGUGUUGUUUGUGAUGCAUCACCUGUUGGAAUGACAGACAUAACAACCAGACACGUAUCUUUUCAAUCAGGUACAUAAGAUAGUAACUGAAGGGAAAAAAAAACAACAAUUGGCGCACAUUGUUGACGUGAGGGUCUCCACGUGGAGUGGACAUUCGCUUUCUCGUUUGUGCAACAAAAUGAAUUCUGGAUGUGGAAUGUAAACAGGCCAUCUUGGCACUUAGGACGAGACACUGCUACAUUUAGGGACAGUUCAGACCUUCAUCCCGAGCCACGUGUGACCCUGAGGUUCGGCUCGUGCUAACGGCCCGUUUUUGCUGGUUAUGAUGUUCCUAGUUGUCAAAUUUUAAAAUGAACAUUGUGAGGACUUAGUUAACUGUUUGAAUGUUUGCUGUUUGGGUGGGGAGGCGGUGACCCCAGUGAAGGGCUUGUAAGAUUAGAGAGGCACUCGUGUCCUUCGCUCCCUCUAAAGAAACGUUGAUCCUGGCACCGUUCUCGGUGGGGUUGUCGGUAGUGGAAACGAUGAAAUCCACAGCUGUGAGCAGGUCAGGGGUGCCAUGAUGUUUUGCGGAUAUCGAUGUCUCCCAGCUUGUCAAACUGCCGCUAUUGGCGGCACAAGGGCAAAUGGCCCCCCACUCUAUACAGAACAAUUGGCACCGGCGUCGGCCACUCCACAGAUUGCUCCAUGGGCAUCGGUACGGGGCACACACAGUCUGGGGGAGAAAUCAAUGCCAACCAUUUAGAGGGUGAACAGGCUGGCACUGUGGUUUAUUGCAGGGCACUCCAUCAGUCCUCACUGGACCUGCAUUGGGGGGCUUUCACUGGCCGGGGGGCUUGGACGCCAUGGAAGCCUAAAGUCCGUCAGCGGCCAUGAGAUCACAGAAGACAGCAAGGCUACGGUUGGACGGUCAGGUCCUCGCCCAGGCCACGUUACCAACCAGUAGCUGGCAUUGAGAGCAGUCACAGCUGGAAAAGGGAGACCCCAGCGUGAUGUCGAGAUGUUACAGACCCCCACUGACCGCUCCGACUAUCCCAGACCACCCAAAGGACCAGCGCCCUGCUGCUUUCUUCAAGUUCCGAAUUUCAUUGUGCCUUAGUUGUCGGGGGGCUCUGAUCUCGUCGGUCCAGGACUGACAUUCACCUUCGACCAAUCGGCUUCUAACUUAAGGCUGUGAGCCCACACAGGAGGGUCUUCGCCCUCAGAUGGUUACGAUUUUACAAAGGACCCCCCACCCCCAGUUACCUCUGAAAUGUGGACCACGAGAUUUUUUUUUUUUUUUUCCCUAACCCUAACCUAAACCCGAUUGGCUGGAGGUGAACGUCUUGUCCUGGGACAACAGCUCUUCACGUUACUCCAAAAGCGACAGACGCCCACCCUCAGACUGCCCUUCGUUUUUUUAGACCAUUUGCAAUGUAUUUCAAAAGCUGCUCGUCGCUCCUCUUCACGAUUUUCUACCAUCCACUUCGUCCCAUUUUAUUUUUUAAAAAGGAAAUUCCACUUCUGCUACUUGCACUAAUCAGGAGCCAUCCAGCCCGCCUGUGCCUGACGAACAGAGGACACGAAAAAUUAAAAAUGGGAAGACAAGCCAUCGGGUCCCAGCAGUCCCACCUCACUUCGGUGGUUCUACAAUUUUCGCAAAAGGAGAUCGUCGACUGUAAUCCUCCUUGGCAAAAAGUCUGCCAGCUCAACUCUUACCCUCAGUGGCAUUGGUCUUACUGCCAACCUGAAGAGGAUUGUGGCACGUGCAGAAGAACCCGGACUAAACGGAAAUCGUAAAAAAAAUCGAUUAAAAGAUGAACGGCGGAACUCGGCCGAGGCCGGUGACGGGCGUGUCACUGCCGGUGAAGCAGCGGGUCCCCAAGACGUUCCUGUUUUCUACAGACUGUGCCGUGUCUCCGUUGGUCGCCAAUGGGGGAGGGGGUGUUGCUCACUUCUUUAUUAAGGAUGGCUACCCCUCCCCCACCCACACCCCAAUUUGCUUUGUGGGCGCUUAACUCCCGAGGUUUGUGGUCUCCAGUCCAAGUGUACUGUAUGCUUGAUUGCUGCCCUUCCUUCUCCUCAGAUUUUUAUUAAGAUUUUGUUUUUGGUGCGAUUUUUCUUUUUUUUUGGCUCGUUAUUAAUAAUGUUAAUAUAAAAAGGAGAUUAAAUGAUUUAACAAAUAAA